UACGUAGGGUGCAAGCGUUAAUCGGAAUUACUGGGCGUAAAGCGUGCGCAGGCGGUUUUGUAAGUUUGUCGUGAAAUCCCCGGGCUCAACCUGGGAAUGGCGAUGAAGACUGCAAGGCUAGAAUCUGGCAGAGGGGGGUAGAAUUCCACGUGUAGCAGUGAAAUGCGUAGAGAUGUGGAGGAACACCGAUGGCGAAGGCAGCCCCCUGGGUCAAGAUUGACGCUCAUGC
rnacentral:rRNA from 1 species